AUUUAUAUAGUUUAAUAAAAACGUUACAUUUUCACUGUAAAAUUAAGUUUUACUUUAUAAAUA
rnacentral:tRNA from 1 species